UGAGCGUUUGUAACCUUUCCGCAGAGGUC
rnacentral:piRNA from 1 species